rnacentral:rRNA from 1 species
CCUACGGGAGGCAGCAGUGGGGAAUUUUGGACAAUGGGCGAAAGCCUGAUCCAGCAAUGCCGCGUGAGUGAAGAAGGCCUUCGGGUUGUAAAGCUCUUUUGUCAGGGAAGAAACGGUGAGAGCUAAUAUCUCUUGCUAAUGACGGUACCUGAAGAAUAAGCACCGGCUAACUACGUGCCAGCAGCCGCGGUAAUACGUAGGGUGCAAGCGUUAAUCGGAAUUACUGGGCGUAAAGCGUGCGCAGGCGGUUUUGUAAGUCUGAUGUGAAAUCCCCGGGCUCAACCUGGGAAUUGCAUUGGAGACUGCAAGGCUAGAAUCUGGCAGAGGGGGGUAGAAUUCCACGUGUAGCAGUGAAAUGCGUAGAUAUGUGGAGGAACACCGAUGGCGAAGGCAGCCCCCUGGGUCAAGAUGACGC